AACGUACGCUGGCGGCACGCCUAACACAUGCAAGUCGAACGCAGUAGCAAUACUGAGUGGCAAACGGGUGAGUAUAAUGUGGGAAUCUGCCUUUUGGUUUGGAAUAACACGGGGAAACUUGUGCUAAUACCGAAUAAGCCCUUACGGGAAAGUUUUAACGCCGAAAGAUGAGCCUGCACUUGAUUAGCUAGUUGGUAAGGUAAAGCUUACCAAGGCAACGAUCAAUAGCUGUUCUUAGAGGAAGACCAGCCACAUUGGGACUGAGACACGGCCCAGACUCCUACGGGAGGCAGCAGUGGGGAAUCUUGCACAAUGGGGGAAACCCUGAUGCAGCGAUGCCGCGUGAGUGAAGAAGGCCCUUGGGUUGUAAAACUCUUUCGUCGGGGAAGAAAUGACUGUA
rnacentral:rRNA from 1 species